rnacentral:rRNA from 1 species
GAUGAACGCUGGCGGCGUGCCUAAUACAUGCAAGUCGAGCGAACAGACGAGGAGCUUGCUCCUCUGACGUUAGCGGCGGACGGGUGAGUAACACGUGGAUAACCUACCUAUAAGACUGGGAUAACUUCGGGAAACCGGAGCUAAUACCGGAUAAUAUAUUGAACCGCAUGGUUCAAUAGUGAAAGACGGUUUUGCUGUCACUUAUAGAUGGAUCCGCGCCGCAUUAGCUAGUUGGUAAGGUAACGGCUUACCAAGGCAACGAUGCGUAGCCGACCUGAGAGAGUGAUCGGCCACACUGGAACGGAGACACGGUCCAGACUCCUACGGGAGGCAGCAGUAGGGAAUCUUCCGCAAUGGGCGAAAGCCUGACGGAGCAACGCCGCGUGAGUGAUGAAGGUCUUCGGAUCGUAAAACUCUGUUAUUAGGGAAGAACAAAUGUGUAAGUAACUAUGCACGUCUUGACGGUACCUAAUCAGAAAGCCACGGCUAACUACGUG